rnacentral:rRNA from 1 species
UACAGAGGUGGCAAGCGUUGUUCGGAAUUACUGGGCGUAAAGGGCGCGUAGGCGGCCCGCUAAGUCGAACGUGAAAUCCCCGAGCUCAACUCGGGAACUGCGUCCGAUACUGGCGGGCUUGAAUCCGGGAGAGGGAUGCGGAAUUCCAGGUGUAGCGGUGAAAUGCGUAGAUAUCUGGAGGAACACCGGUGGCGAAGGCGGCAUCCUGGACCGACAUUGACGCUGAGGAGCGAAAGCUAGGGGAGCAAACGGG